UCCUAAGCGCCAAACUCUGAAAGUUUGUU
rnacentral:piRNA from 1 species